GAGGAUUAGCAAGAUCCAGGCCCUGAUGGUGCCCAGGAGAUUCAAUGGAAGGCAUGUUGAUCCAGAUUGGAAAGAAAGCUUUCAAUCUAGUUGUGCUACUGGGACUGGAACACAAAGCUUGAUCUAUGAAUCUUCCAUAUGCAGACAUUGGUUUAAAAGACUCUGGAUUGCUUGAUGUUGACAGUGAGGGUGGCAGAAUACUUCUUCUGGAAUAUUGUCACAUCAGUCUUGAGUGAACCAUUCAUGCAAGAUUGUGGAGGGAACACCUAAAAGGACAGAGAGGUGGUGCUCCAUCAAGACACAGAACGGGUUUUAUCAACUCUCUCAUGCUUGUGAGCUAGUAUGUUUUAUUUAAUAAAGUUCUUAUGUGUGGC
rnacentral:lncRNA from 1 species